rnacentral:rRNA from 1 species
CCNGCAAGGNUAAAACUCAAAGGAAUUGACGGGGGGCCCGCACAAGCGGUGGAGCAUGUGGUUUAAUUCGACGCAACGCGAAGAACNUUACCCAGACUUGACAUUGAUGGAAUCCCUUAGAAAUUUGGGAGUGCCCUUCGGGGCCCAGAAAACAGGUGCUGCAUGGCUGUAGUCAGCUCGUGUCGUGAGAUGUUGGGUUAAGUCCCGCAACGAGCGCAACCCUUGCCGUUAGUUGCCAUCAGGUAAAGCUGGGCACUCUAACGGGACUGCCGGUGUCAAACCGGAGGAAGGUGGGGAUGACGUCAAGUCCUCAUGGCCUUUAUGUCUGGGGCUACACACGUGCUACAAUGGCCACUACAGAGCGCAGCGAACCCGCGAGGGAGAGCAAAUCGCAAAAAAGUGGUCUCAGUUCGGAUUGGAGUCUGCAACUCGACUCCAUGAAGUCGGAAUCGCUAGUAAUCGUGGAUCAGCACGCCACGGUGAAUACGUUCCCGGGCCUUGUACACACCGCCCGUCACACCAUGGGAGUUGAUUGCUCCANAAGUCGGUGCGCCAACCUUAGGGGGGCAGCCGCCCAAGGAGUGAUUGGUGACUGGGGUG